rnacentral:rRNA from 1 species
AUGUCGGGGUCCUCCAUGCCAAGGUACCCCCUCCUCGUGUUGAUGUUCACGAGCUCAUCAUCGUCAGAGUCGCUAGCCAUGGCGAUGCGAGAGGACUACCGAAGCGGUGGCGCCAAGCGGAUGGUUGCAGUGAUAGUUAUAGUCUCAUUGGAGGCGCGGUUGAAGGAGAUGUGGGAACUUAAGGCUUAUGAUCGAGUGGACUGGGAUUUUUUGGAACAAGCCUUAAGUAAAUGGGGCUUUUCUGUGAGGUGGAUUUCUUGGAUUAUGGCAUGUGUGAGAUCAGUCAAAUACUCGGUGAAGUUUAAUGGAAGGUUACUGCAAUCUUUCACACCUUCUAGGGGCCUUCGCCAAGUAACAAAUGGGGAGUUGCAAGGAGUUACUAUUUGCCGUGGUGCUCCGAUGAUAUCUCACCUCUUAUUUGCGGAUGAUACAAUGUUGUUGUUUCAUGCAUCUGGCCAACAAGCAAACACGGUAAAAGGCUUGUUGAACACUUAUGCCUCGGCGACGGGUCAACUUGUUAAUCCAGGAAAGUGUUCCAUCCUUUUUUCUGAUAACUGUCCUGGUGCAGUGGUGGAGGAUGUGAAAAAUACAUUGGAAGUUACUCAACAGGUGUUUGAACCAAAAUAUUUGGGUUUAUCGGUACCUGAAGGAAGAAUGCACAAGGGUCAAUUUGAAACACUUCAGGCAAGCUUGAGCAAAAGACUAAUAGAUUGGAGUGAGCAGUAUCUAUCGUCUGGUAAUAAGGAAAUCUUGAUAAAGGCGGUCGCCCAAGCAAUACCCACAUAUGUCAUGAGUGUGUUCAAACUUCCAGCCUCCGUGUGUGAUGACCUAACACGAAUGAUGCGACAGUAUUGGUGGGGUGUUGAGAAUGGAAAGAAGAAGAUGGCCUGGCUUAGUUGGGAAAAAAUGAAAUUGCCCAAAUCAAUGGGAGGAAUGGGAUUUAGAGAUAUGCGGGCAUUUAAUCAAGCGUUGUUAGCAAAACAAGCUUGGUGGUUGCUGGAUAACCCCGAUAGUCUAUGUGCUCGUUUAUUGCGUGCAAAAUACUACCCUACUGGGAAUUUGUUGGACACUGUUUUUCCUAGCAGUUCGUCGGCAGUAUGGAAGGGUAUUAGUCAUGGUCUGGAUCUGCUGAAGAAGGGGGUUAUUUGA